UUAAUCCACCUCGGAACGAUGAAAGAUCUACUCUAGGCACCCAUUGAGCUGGAUGGAUGAAGGGACGACCCUCUCUUUUCUUUGCAAAUGUUACCUUUCGGCUUUUUGCUUUCAUUCCUGGUUGUUGCUGGUUGGCUGGUCAAAUCCACCCAAGCGAGCAAAUGAGGGUCCAUUUAGAGCAAUUCAAUUUCUAAAUAGCAAAAGCAAGGCUAUUCCACUCAGCCUUUUGUGUAAUAAUGGACCAAAAACACGACUUUUUGCUUAUUUAUUUCUCCUCCCGAGCUAAAUAGGUAGAUAAAACGAACACAAACAAGGGCCUGCACCUUUCGGCAAAGUGUAUCGUGUCGUGUCAUGUCAAGUCGAUCAGGCAGCAAAAGCAGGAGAUGAUGAUGAACUGAAGAUGAAUGAAGUGUGGAGGCAGUCAAUGAUUCCAGAAAGGAAAUCCAGUCCAGGGAAGAAGAAGGACGUGGGAGAAAGUUGGCUCAAAGUUUUGUGGGACUGCAUCGCAUCGUCCCUUCAGUUGACAUAUCAAUCUGGUGGCCAAAAUCUCCUCGUCCUGACUGAUGACUGACCCUUCAGAAGAAGAAGAGCAGCAGCGUGGGUAACGUGAUGUAACGUAACGUGACCAUCCAACCAUUUCCGUUUAAGUAGACGAAAAG